rnacentral:rRNA from 1 species
UGAGACACGGUCCAGACUCCUACGGGAGGCAGCAGUGGGGAAUAUUGGACAAUGGGCGAAAGCCUGAUCCAGCCAUGCCGCGUGUGUGAAGAAGGUCUUCGGAUUGUAAAGCACUUUAAGUUGGGAGGAAGGGCAGUUACCUAAUACGUGAUUGUUUUGACGUUACCGACAGAAUAAGCACCGGCUAACUCUGUGCCAGCAGCCGCGGUAAUACAGAGGGUGCAAGCGUUAAUCGGAAUUACUGGGCGUAAAGCGCGCGUAGGUGGUUCGUUAAGUUGGAUGUGAAAUCCCCGGGCUCAACCUGGGAACUGCAUUCAAAACUGUCGAGCUAGAGUAUGGUAGAGGGUGGUGGAAUUUCCUGUGUAGCGGUGAAAUGCGUAGAUAUAGGAAGGAACACCAGUGGCGAAGGCGACCACCUGGACUGAUACUGACACUGAGGUGCGAAAGCGCGGGGAGCAAACAGGAUUAGAUACCCUGGUAGUCCACGCCGUAAACGAUGUCAACUAGCCGUUGGGAGCCUUGAGCUCUUAGUGGCGCAGCUAACGCAUUAAGUUGACCGCCUGGGGAGUACGGCCGCAAGGUUAAAACUCAAAUGAAUUGACGGGG